UUCUGGUCAAUGGGUAUGGCGCUGUUGUUGCCGGAACCACCACCGGUGUUGCCGCUAGUUGUUUCCCUAAAGUCCGAGUCGUUGUGGUUGCUGAGAAAGUGAUUUGGAGCUGAGGUUGUAGCUGCUGCAGUUUCGGGUUGAGAGGAAAGGUUCCGUCGACGCGUUUGGAUUAUAGUUUCAACAAUGGAGAACUAUGGCCAGCUCUAUCUUGUCGCUACUCCGGUUCAAAUUCUACGCUCAUUCUUUCCAUUCCACUUCAAUCCUUCUUACCUUGAAUUUGGCACUCUGGGUUUGGUAUCUUCGGUCCCUUGGGACUACGUUGAACAAAUAUUUGACUGUGUGAGACUUUCUAUUCAAGAGUAAUGGUCUGCAAUGCGUACCUAUUCUUUGUUGAAUUCCUAAAAGUAUAUGCUCCAUAUGUCACAGGCAGAACCAACCAUUCUUAGUUAUUUUAAUUUUUUUUGUUAAAAAUAUAUAAUUAUUUAUUUUAGAACUUGUAAAAUAUUUAUACUUGCUUAUUGAACUUAUAUUUGACUAUGUUAGACUUGCUAUAGGAUUAUUUUUCCUGAGCGCCGGUCAUGACUCAUUUUGGGUCGUGACACAUUUGUAGCCCUAUAAUAUGUUCUUCCAUCAACUUUAUCUCCCAUAAGACACAACUUCCCCGUCCUUAUUGUCAAGUGCCCCCUGCAAUAUAAUGCCUUGAAUAUAUUAUAACAA